GGCCCUGUGGCCUAAUGGAUGAGGCGUAUGACUUCAAAAGAUUGCAUUGCAGGUUUGACCCCUGCCUGGGUCA
rnacentral:tRNA from 1 species